rnacentral:rRNA from 1 species
GAUGAACGCGUAGCCGGCAGGGCCUAAUACAUGCAAGUCGUACGGCAACACAGUUGCGAGCAAUCGCAACCGGUGGCGAGUGGCGCACGGGUGAGGUAACCGCGUAUGUAACCUACCCUUCUCCGGGACAUAACUCCGCGAAAGCGGUGCUAAUAUCCCCAUACCAACUCAUCAAGACAUCUUCUUGAGUUGAAAGCAGCAAUGCGGUGAAGGAUGGGCAUGCGUCCCAUUAGCUGGUUGGUGAGGUAAUGGCCCACCAAGGCUACGAUGGGUAGGGGUUCUGAGAGGAAAGCCCCCCACACUGGUACUGAGACACGGACCAGACUCCUACGGGAGGCAGCAGUAAGGAAUAUUGGGCAAUGGUCGAAAGACUGACCCCAGCCAUGCCGCGUGCAGGAUGAAGGCCCUAUGGGUUGUAAACUGCUUUUAGCCGGGAAUAAACACCCGUUUUAUAACGGGCCCGAAGGUACCGGCUGAAUAAGCAUCGGCUAACUCCGUG